GUCCAGAAAGCUUUUCACACACAGCCUACAAGGGGAAUUAUUCCUGGCCGCUAACAAGUCCAGCUACCGAAGCGGAGGUUAGCUGCCGGAAAAACCCUCUGCAGUCUGCUCAAAGGAGUUGUGCAAUUAAUAUUGAACUUGAACAAGCUUUCUGGAAGAAACCAAAUAUGACUGAAUGUAAAUUAUUGGAAGAGCUUCCAAAUAAUAUUUUAGACCUCCAUGAUAUCACAAUAACAGAAGAAAAUGCACAAGAUGUUGUACAGCAUAUUUUAUACCUCUUGCCAAAUGCAACACUGCGUAUGGAAGAAUUGGAGAUCAUUGCAAGUAAAGUUUCUGAUAUCGUAAGGCUUGCAGAUAUGAGCAUGACACUUGCAGAGACUGUCUUGUAUGUACUAAACUACAUUUUGCUGCAAGAAACAGAAGAUCAGACCAUUAAGAAAAUGGCCAAUAGGUAAGUAAGAUAAAU
rnacentral:lncRNA from 1 species